rnacentral:rRNA from 1 species
AAUCAUCUUAGUAGGUUGAGGAAAAGAGAAUAAACAAUGAUUCCGAAAGUAGUGGCGAGCGAAAUUGGAACAGCCCAAACCUUAACAUAACCAUACGGUUUAACGGCCAGAGUUAUGAAAGGGGUUGAGAAAUUAGAUAAUUUUUAUGUAUAGCAGUUGAAUAAAAUCGAAGCCUACUCACUUUUAAGGACUAUCAGCUUGGGCAAACGCCCUUGAGUGCGUCCGAAAAAGUGAGUAGGCGACGAUUCGACAGUUAUACAUAAAAACCAACAUCGUUAAAUGAGUGGAUAAUGAUAAAAUCCUUUAGAUCAUAGCAGAAGUGUUUGAAUGGCACACCAAAGAAGGUGAGAGUCCUGUACGCGAAAUGGUCUUAGGCAUUAUAUAUCUUUUUUCAAGUAGGACGGGGCACGAGAAACCCUGUUUGAAUCCGGCAGGACCACCUGCCAAGGCUAAAUAUAUUGAUUGAUCGAUAGCGAACUAGUACAGUGAUGGAAAGGUGAAAAGAACCCCGGGAGGGGAGUGAAAUAGAACCUGAAACUUAGUGCCUACAAGGUGUCGGAGCAGCUUCGGCUGUGACGGCGUGCUUUUUGUAGAACGAUCCAGCGAGUUAAUGUUGUCGGCGAGGCUAAGUCAGAUGAUGGAGCCACAGUGAAAGCGAGCCUUAACAGGGCGACAAGUCGGCAGUAUUAGACCCGAAACCGGGUGACCUAACCAUGAGCAGGUUGAAGCUGCGGUAACACGCAGUGGAGGACCGAACCAGGGCACGCAGUAAAGUGCUUGGAUGACUUGUGGUUAGCGGUGAAAUGCCAAUCGAACUCGGAGAUAGCUGGUUCUCCUCGAAAUAGCUUUAGGGCUAGCGUUGUGUUAGUAAUCAUCAGGGGUAGAGCUCUGAAAAGGUUCGGGGCCGGCAACGGUACCCACCCUUAUCAAACUACGAAUACUGGUGGUGUAACCACAGCAGUCAGAACGGCGGGGCUAAGCUCGUCGCUCAAAAGGGAAACAGCCCAGAUCAUCGUCUAAGGUCCCCAAUUAACACUAAGUGGGAAACAAAGUGAAAUUUCUUAAACAGCUAGGAUGUUGGCUUAGAAGCAGCCAUUCAUUUAAAGAGUGCGUAACAGCUCACUAGUCAAGAGAUUUUGCGUGGAAAAUGUAACGGGGCUAAAGUGUUAAACCGAAGACAUGGACUUCUGCUUAUGCAGGAGUGGUAGAGGAGCGUUGAUAUCGCAGUGAAGUCAGAUUGUAAAGUCUGGUGGAGCGUUAUCAAGUGAGAAUGCUGGAAUCAGUAACCUUAAGACAGGUGAGAAUCCUGUCGGUCGUAAGAGCAAGGUUUCCAGGGCUACAGUAAUUGUCCCUGGGUUAGUCGGUCCUAAGCCGAGGCGUAUCAGCGUAGGCGAUGGACAACAGGUUAAUAUUCCUGUACAGGUAGUAGUUGUGAACAGUUCACGGUGAAUGACCGGAGCGGAUUAAUGGUUUAUCCGUCCAAGUCUCUAGGGAACUAGAGAUGAGUGAAAGGUAAUCUUCGGAUUAUUAAUUCCGGGUGAAGCACUGGCUAGAAAAGCUGGUUCACUUAUGCUGCUGCCUACCGUACCGCAAACCAACACCGGUGCUCGGGUCGAGUAGACCAAGACCUACGUGAGAACCUUCGCUAAGGAACUCGGCAAAAAAGCGUCCGUAACUUCGGAAUAAGGACUGCCCUCUCAUUAAGAUGAGGAUUUGCUAGAAACUCAGCAGAAGAUUCAGAUUAUGUUACAUAUUUACUAAAAAUUUGUUAUUUUUCGAGACCAUAAGCUCGGCCGAACGGCCUUGAGUGUGUCGAGAAAAACAACAAAUUUUAGUUAUUUACCUUUAACUGAAUUUUUUCGUUGAGACAGAACACAAAUCAGGAUUUGUUUUAACAAAUUCGUGUCUUUUCUAGUAGUCUAAUCGUCAUUUUGAUGAGAGGGCCGCAGCUAAAGAGCCCACGGAACUGUUUACCAAAAACAUAGGUCUCUGCUAACGCGAAAGCGGAUGUAUAGGGGCUGACUCCUGCCCGGUGUCGGAAGGUUAAGGGGAGAGCUUUACGGUUCGAACUGAAGCCCCGAUGAACGGCGGCGAUAACUAUGAUCGUCCUAAGGUAGCGAAAUUCCUUGUCGGGUAAGUUCUGACCCGCACGAAUGGAGUAAUCAUGUGGGCAC